rfam:Haemonchus placei strain MHpl1 genome assembly, scaffold: HPLM_scaffold0001602
GGCACAAACCUGAAGUAGAGUAGAUUAGUAGGGUCAGGUGAUACUACUAAUUUACUCUACUUCAAACCUGUGCUC